rnacentral:rRNA from 1 species
GCGUUAUUCGAUGCUCGUAGUUGGAUUUCUGGGGGCUGAUUCUGGAGGGCGGCUAUGGCCGCCACCGGUUUCUUCCUUCAUCCACCUGUUAACGUUGUUCGAGAUUCAUUUCUCGGCUUCGGGCUCAGGUAUUUUACCCUUACUAUAUUCAUUUAUUUAUCUUCUUUUUGAGCAAAUUAUGGUGUUCCAGGCAGGCGUGCGCCGGAAUACUUUAGCAUGGAAUAAUCGAAUUGGACCGUGUUCCUUAUUUGUUGGUUUGAUGGGCACGGAAUGAUUAAUAGGGAUAGUAAUUUUCAGGGGAGGCAUUAGUAUUUAAUUUCCAGAGGUGAAAUUCUUUGAAAUAUUAAAGACUAACUUAUGCGAAAGCAUUUAUUUUGCCAAUAAUGUUUUCAUUAAUCAUUGAACGAAAGUUAGGGGAUCAAAGACGAUCAGAUACCGUCCUAGUCUUAACCAUAAACGUUGCCGACUAGGGAUCGGAGGGCGUGCACAUUCCGCCUUCGGCACCUUACGAGAAAUCAAAGUCUUUUGGGUUCUGGGGGUAGUAUGGUCGCAAGGCUGAAACUUAAAGGAAUUGACGGAAGGGCACCACCAGGAGUGGAGCUUGCGGCUCAAUUUGACUCAACACGGGAAAUCUUACCAGGUCCAGACAUAGCGAGGAUUGACAGAUUGAUAGCUCUUUCUUGAUUCUAUGGGUAUUUUUGGUGGUGCAUGGCCGUUCUUAGUUGGUGGAGUGAUUUGUCUGGUUAAUUCCGUUAAACGAACGAGACCUCAGCCUGCUAAAUAGUUACUUGUCUUUCUUUUACGAGACAUGCUAACUUCUUAGAGGGACGUUGUGUGCAACCACAAGGAAGUUGAGGCAAUAACAGGUCUGUGAUGCCCUUAGAUGUCCUGGGCCGCACGCGUGCUACACUGAUACGUACAACGAGGUAUAUGUAUUUAUACAUCGAUGCUGCUCCGAA